rnacentral:rRNA from 1 species
CCUACGGGAGGCAGCAGUGGGGAAUAUUGGGCAAUGGGCGCAAGCCUGACCCAGCCACGCCGCGUGAGUGAUGAAGGCCUUCGGGUUGUAAAGCUCUGUGGGAAGAGAAGAAAAACUGGUAGCUAAUAUCUGCCAGGUUGACGGUACCUUCUUAGCAAGCACCGGCUAACUCUGUGCCAGCAGCCGCGGUAAGACAGAGGGUGCAAACGUUGCUCGGAUUUACUGGGCGUAAAGCGCAUGUAGGCGGGCGGAUAAGUCGGGUGUGAAAUCCCUGGGCUCAACCUAGGAACUGCAUCCGAAACUGUUCACCUUGAGUAGUGGAGAGGAAAGCGGAAUUCCCGGUGUAGAGGUGAAAUUCGUAGAUAUCGGGAGGAACACCAGUGGCGAAGGCGGCUUUCUGGACACUAACUGACGCUGAGAUGCGAAAGCGUGGGGAGCAAACAGGAUUAGAUACCCUGGUAGUCCACGCUGUAAACGAUGAGUGCUGGGUGUCUUGGGUAUUGACCCCCGAGGCGCCGUAGCUAACGCGUUAAGCACUCCGCCUGGGGAGUACGGUCGCAAGACUAAAACUCAAAUGAAUUGACGG